CUCCGGUUGAUCCGCCGGGACCCGACUGCUAUCAGAGUGAGAUUAAGCCAUGCGAGUUAACGUAGCAAUACGUGGCGCACGGCUCAGUAACACGUAGUCAACAUGCCCAGAGGACGUGGAUAACCUCGGGAAACUGAGUCUAAACCGCGAUAAGUGAGGAUUUCUGGAAUGGUUCCUGACUAAAAUCUAUAUGGCCUCUGGAUUGGACUGCGGCCGAUCAGGCUGUUGGUGAGGUAAUGGCCCACCAAACCUGUAACCGGUACGGGCUCUGAGAGGAGGAGCCCGGAGAUGGGCACUGAGACAAGGGCCCAGGCCCUAUGGGGCGCAGCAGGCGCGAAACCUCUGCAAUAGGCGAAAGCCUGACAGGGUUACUCUGAGUGACUUUCGCUAAGAAAGUCUUUUGGCACCUCUAAAAAGGGUGCAGAAUAAGGGGUGGGCAAGUCUGGUGUCAGCCGCCGCGGUAAUACCAGCACCCCGAGUGGUCGGGACGAUUAUUGGGCCUAAAGCAUCCGUAGCCGGUUCUGCAAGUCCCCCGUUAAAUCCAGCUGCUCAACAGAUGGGCCGCGGAGGAUACUACAGAGCUAGGAGGCAGGAGAGGCAAGCGGUACUCAGUGGGUAGGGGUAAAAUCCGUUGAUCCAUUGAAGACCACCAGUGGCGAAGGCGGCUUGCCAGAAUGCGCUCGACGGUGAGGGAUGAAAGCUGGGGGAGCAAACCGGAUUAGAUACCCGGGUAGUCCCAGCUGUAAACGAUGCAGACUCGGUGAUGGGCUAGCCUUGUGCCAGCCCAGUGCCGCAGGGAAGCCGUUAAGUCUGCCGCCUGGGGAGUACGGUCGCAAGACUGAAACUUAAAGGAAUUGGCGGGGGAGCA
rnacentral:rRNA from 1 species